CAAGGCUUCAAUUCAAUGUACUAAAAUGUCUAUGUAUUUAACCUUCACAAUGUGCUGCUGAACGAACCCAAGAGAGAAAAUCCAACCUGGAGUUUGUUUUGAUGCUCUUGGCCUUACUCCUGGAAAACCUUUUACUCAGUGACUCCCUGGUCUGGACUGCUCUGGUCCUGAGCCAUGCUCUGCAGAUAGAACCAGAACUCUGCUUGGGUCCCCUGUUAAAACUGCUGCUUUUACAGUUACAACUCUGUGAGGUCUUGGCAGUGGUACAGUAUUACUUUCAGAGCCCUUUGUUAAUUGUUACAAUAUCUGUGGUAUAUCUCACUUAAACAUAUAGGCCUAGGUAUUCCUUUAUAAAUAUAUAGCCCUAGGUAUUCCUUUAUAAACAUAUAGGCCUAGGUAUUCCUUUAUAAAAUAUAUAGGCCUAGAUAUUCCUUUAUAAAAUAUAUAGCCCUAGGUAUUCCUUUAUAAAAUAUAUAGGCCUAGGUAUUCCUUUAUAAAUAUAUAGGCCUAGAUAUUCCUUUGUAAAAUAUAUAGCCCUAGGUAUUCCUUUGGUCUUCUAAUAAGACUUUCUGUUGUGGGGAGUUGUGCUGUAUAUCUCCAUG
rnacentral:lncRNA from 1 species